AGGUGCGAUCAUACCAGCACUAAUGCACCGGAUCCCAUCAGAACUCCGCAGUUAAGCGUGCUUGGGCGAGAGUAGUACUAGGAUGGGUGACCACCUGGGAAGUCCUUGUAUUGCACCUCU
rnacentral:rRNA from 1 species